rnacentral:rRNA from 1 species
GACGAACGCUGGCGGCGCGCUUAACACAUGCAAGUCGAACGGAAAGGCCUGCUUUCCCUUGUGGAUUGCGGGUACUCGAGUGGCGAAGGGAUGAGUAGCACGUGAGUGUUCUGCCCCCAACUUAGGUAUAAGCCUGGGAAACUGUGUCUAAUUCUCGAUAGGACUGCAUGGUGGUGCCUGUGGUGGAAAACGAUUUUCUAGUUGUUGGGGAUGAGCUCGCGGCCUAUCAGCUUGUUGGUGAGGUAAUGUCCUACCAAGGCGGCGACGAGUAGCCGGCCUGAGAGGGGGGACGGCCACAUUGGGACUGAGAUCCGGCCCAGACGGCUACGGGAGGCAGCAGUAGGGACUAUUGCGCAAGGAGCGGAAGCGUGAUGCAGCGACGCCGCGUGGGGGAUGACCGCAUUCGGGAUGUAAACUCCUUUCGACCGCGAGGAAGGCACCUGGUUAGAAGGGUGGUGACGGUAGUGGUAGAAGAAGCCACGGCUAACUACGUG